rnacentral:rRNA from 1 species
UACACUCCUACGGGAGGCAGCAGUGGGGAAUAUUGGACAAUGGGCGCAAGCCUGAUCCAGCCAUGCCGCGUGAGUGAUGAAGGCCCUAGGGUUGUAAAGCUCUUUCACCGGUGAAGAUAAUGACGGUAACCGGAGAAGAAGCCCCGGCUAACUUCGUGCCAGCAGCCGCGGUAAUACGAAGGGGGCUAGCGUUGUUCGGAUUUACUGGGCGUAAAGCGCACGUAGGCGGACUAUUAAGUCAGGGGUGAAAUCCCGGGGCUCAACCCCGGAACUGCCUUUGAUACUGGUAGUCUUGAGUUCGAGAGAGGUGAGUGGAAUGCCGAGUGUAGAGGUGAAAUUCGUAGAUAUUCGGAGGAACACCAGUGGCGAAGGCGGCUCACUGGCUCGAUACUGACGCUGAGGUGCGAAAGCGUGGGGAGCAAACAGGAUUAGAAACCCCAGUAGUCCCA